ACAUGUAAAGAGCAGCGCAUGUAAAGAGAUUGUCCAGUCAACUGAUGGUAGCUGUGACUGUCCAGGCGACACACGUACUUAGGUAUCGUCAUGAGCUAAUGUUCACAUGUAAACAGCAGCUCAUGUAAAGAGAUUGUCCAGUCAACUGAUGGUAGCGGUGACUGUCCAGGCGACACACGUACUUAGGUAUCGUCAUGAGCUAAUGUUCACAUGUAAACAGCAGCUCAUGUAAAGAGAUUGUCCAGUCAACUGAUUGUAGCGGUGACUGUCCAGGCGACACACGUACUUAGGUAUCGUCAUGAGCUAAUGUUCACAUGUAAACAGCAGCUCAUGUAAAGAGAUUGUCCAGUCAACUGAUGGUAGCGGUGACUGUCCAGGCGACACACGUACUUAGGUAUCGUCAUGAGCUAAUGUUCACAUGUAAACAGCAGCUCGUGUAAAGAGAUUGUCCAGUCAACUGAUGGUAGCGGUGACUGUCCAGGCGACACACGUACUUAGGUAUCGUCAUGAGCUAAUGUUCACAUGUAAACAGCAGCUCAUGUAAAGAGAUUGUCCAGUCAACUGAUGGUAGCGGUGACUGUCCAGGCGACACACGUACUUAGGUAUCGUCAUGAGCUAAUGUUCACAUGUAAACAGCAGCUCGUGUAAAGAGAUUGUCCAGUCAACUGAUGGUAGCGGUGACUGUCCAGGCGACACACGUACUUAGGUAUCGUCAUGAGCUAAUGUUCACAUGUAAACAGCAGCUCGUGUAAAGAGAUUGUCCAGUCAACUGAUGGUAGCGGUGACUGUCCAGGUGACACACGUACUUAGGUAUCGUCAUGAGCUAAUGUUCACAUAGAAACAGCAGCUCAUGUAAAGAGAUUGUCCAGUCAACUGAUGGUAGCGG